rnacentral:snRNA from 1 species
GACGAGUGGGUCGGCAAGCUCAUGGGGGUCAACAAGAUGCUGGCCGUGCGCAUCCUCGAAGUCCGCAAGGCCUAUGCGGAGAUGGACUUCGACUGGACCAAGCUGCAGGCGCUCGCGAUGGAAGAGAUGGAGGAGGGGGGCGACAGGA